rnacentral:rRNA from 1 species
ACUGCUCAGUAACACGUGGCUAAUCUGCCCUUGGGACCGGAACACCCCCGGGAAACUGGGGCUAAUUCUCGAUAGGCGAAGAACUCUGGAAUGAGUCUUCGUCAAAAAGACGUUUACGUUAUGCUCGUAGGCGUCGCCCAAGGAUGAGGCCGCGACCGAUCAGGUUGUUGGUGAGGUAAUGGCUCACCAAGCCUUUUACCGGUGCGGGCCGUGAGAGCGGGAGCCCGGAGAUGGGCACUGAGACAAGGGCCCAGGCCCUACGGGGCGCAGCAGUCGCGAAAACUUUGCAAUACACGAAAGUGUGACAGGGCUAUCCCGAGUGCCAUCCGCUGAGGAAGGCUUUUACCCAGUCUAGAACGCUGGGGGAAUAAGGAGAGGGCAAGUCUGGUGUCAGCCGCCGCGGUAAUACCAGCUCUUCGAGUGGUGUGGAUGUUUAUUGGGCCUAAAGCAUCCGUAGCUGGCUAAGUUAGUCCCCUGUUAAAUCCACCGAAUUAAUCGUUGGAUUGCGGGGGAUACUGCUUGGCUAGGGGACGAGAGAGGCAGACGGUAUUUCCGGGGUAGGGGUGAAAUCCUAUAAUCCCGGGAAGACCACCAGUGGCGAAGGCUGUCUGCUAGAACGCGCCCGACGGUGAGGGAUGAAAGCUGGGGGAGCGAACCGGAUUAGAUACCCGGGUAGUCCCAGCUGUAAACGAUGCAGGCUAGGUGUUUGGACGGCCACGUGCCGUUCUAGUGCCGCAGGGAAGCUGUUAAGCCUGCCGCCUGGGGAGUACGAUCGCAAGAUUGAAACUUAAAGGAAUUGGCGGGGGAGCA